ACACAUUUCCUUAGGAAAAGCAGGAGGCUGUGAUGGAAGAAACUAAGGAUCUUGAAAUUGGAUAGACCUAUUACCACCUUCCCUAACUUCAAGACUUCAAGGAGAAGGAAGAAGGAGAUUUGAGACCCAGAGAAACAGAGGAAGAGGCCAUGAGAACAUGGAGGCAGAGACUGGAGGGCAAUCAUGAACUAAAAACCACCAAGGAUUGCAGAAGUCACCAGAGGCUGGGAAAGAGGCACAGCAUGGAUUCUUCCACAGAGCCUCCACAUGGAACCAGUACUGCCAAAACCUUGAUUUCAAAUAUCUGGCCUUAAAAACUGUGAAUAAAUAAUUUCCUAUUAAGUCACUCGGUUUGUGGCUAUUAGUCAUGGCAGCCCUAGAACACUAAUAUGCUGUCUAACAGAAAAUGUGUGGCUCCCUGUCCUAGACCAAUAUGUCGGAUACAUAAUUUGUGUGAUAUUUGAGCUCAAGAGAAGACCACCACCUUGGGAAGUAGCAGAGAGCCAUUCCCCCUUCCUAUAUUUCUGUCCCAUUCUCCCUUCCUAUAUUUCUGUCUCUGGUCAUACAAUUGGGC
rnacentral:lncRNA from 10 species